GACGAACGCUGGCGGCGUGCUUAACACAUGCAAGUCGAGCGGAAAGGCCUUUCGGGGUACUCGAGCGGCGAACGGGUGAGUAACACGUGAGUAAUCUGCCCUUCACUCUGGGAUAGCCACCGGAAACGGUGAUUAAUACCGGAUAUGACCACUCCCGGCAUCGGGUGGUGGUGGAAACUUUUUUGGGUGGGGGAUGUGCUCGCGGCCUAUCAGCUUGUUGGUGGGGUAAUGGCCUACCAAGGCUUCGACGGGUAGCCGGCCUGAGAGGGGGACCGGCCACACUGGGACUGAGACCCGGCCCAGACUCCUACGGGAGGCAGCAGUGGGGAAUAUUGGACAAUGGGCGGAAGCCUGAUCCAGCAACGCCGCGUGAGGGAUGACGGCCUUCGGGUUGUAAACCUCUUUCAGCACCGACGAAGCGAAAGUGACGGUAGGUGCAGAAGAAGGACCGGCCAACUACGUGCCAGCCGCCGCAGUAACAC
rnacentral:rRNA from 1 species